rnacentral:tRNA from 3 species
GCCGCUGUAGCUCAGUGGUAGAGCGCACCCUUGGUAAGGGUGAGGUCACGGGUUCAAAUCCCGUCAGCGGCU